GACGAACGCUGGCGGCGUGCUUAACACAUGCAAGUCGAACGGAAAGACCCUGCUUUUGUGGGGUGCUCGAGUGGCGCACGGGUGAGUAACAAGUGAGUAACCUUCCCUUGACUUUGGGAUAACUUCAGGAAACUGGGGCUAAUACCGGGUAGGGGCUCCUGCUGCCUGGUGGGGGUUGGAAAGGUUCGGCGGUUGGGGAUGGACUCGCGGCUUCUCUGGUUGUUUGGGGGGUGGUGGCUUACCAAGGCUUUUACGGGUAGCCGGCCUGAGAGGGUGACCGGCCACAUUGGGACUGGGAUACGGCCCAGACUCCUACGGGAGGCAGCAGUGGGGAAUAUUGCACAAUGGGCGGAAGCCUGAUGCAGCAACGCCGCGUGCGGGAUGACGGCCUUCGGGUUGUAAACCGCUUUCGCCUGUGACGAAGCGUGAGUGACGGUAAUGGGUAAAGAAGCACCGGCUAACUACGUG
rnacentral:rRNA from 1 species